rnacentral:RNase_P_RNA from 1 species
GUAGGGUAUGCGAUCGCGGCCGGCAGGCCGAAAGGUGCCGGCUGAGGAAAGUCCGGGCUUCGCAGGGCAGGAUGCCGGAUAACGUCCGGCGGGGGUGACCUCAGGGAAAGUGCAACAGAGAUAUACCGCCUGCUUCUUCCGCAAGGAAGGGCGGGCAAGGGUGAAAAGGCAGUGUAAGAGACUACCGAUCUCCUGGUAACAGGGGAUGCCAUGUAAACCCCAUCCGAAGCAAGACCGAACAGAAGACGAUGUGGCUGCCCGUCACGUCUUCAGGUAGGUCGCUUGAGCCUGCCGGUAACGGCAGGACACAGACAGAUGAUCGCACACGACAUAACCCGGCUUAUCGCCCUGCUCG